rnacentral:rRNA from 1 species
AAGGUUAACCGAAUAGGGGAGCCGGAGGGAAACCGAGUCUUAACCGGGCGUUAAGUUGCAGGGUAUAGACCCGAAACCCGGUGAUCUAGCCAUGGGCAGGUUGAAGGUUGGGUAACACUAACUGGAGGACCGAACCGACUAAUGUUGAAAAAUUAGCGGAUGACCUGUGGCUGGGGGUGAAAGGCCAAUCAAACCGGGAGAUAGCUGGUUCUCCCCGAAAGCUAUUUAGGUAGCGCCUCGUGAAUUCAUCUCCGGGGGUAGAGCACUGUUUCGGCUAGGGGGCCAUCCCGGCUUACCAACCCGAUGCAAACUGCGAAUACCGGAGAAUGUUAUCACGGGAGACACACGGCGGGUGCUAACGUCCGUCGUGAAGAGGGAAACAACCCAGACCGCCAGCUAAGGUCCCAAAGUCAUGGUUAAGUGGGAAACGAUGUGGGAAGGCCCAGACAGCCAGGAUGUUGGCUUAGAAGCAGCCAUCAUUUAAAGAAAGCGUAAUAGCUCACUGGUCGAGUCGGCCUGCGCGGAAGAUGUAACGGGGCUAAACCAUGCACCGAAGCUGCGGCAGCGAACGUAUCACUUAAAGCGAUUCAGCGGGUUACGAUUGACGGAGCGAAGCGACGUCAAAG